rnacentral:rRNA from 1 species
AACGAACGCUGGCGGCAUGCCUAACACAUGCAAGUCGAACGAUGCCUUCGGGCAUAGUGGCGCACGGGUGCGUAACGCGUGGGAAUCUGCCUUUCGGUUCGGAAUAACUCAGGGAAACUUGAGCUAAUACCGGAUAACGUCGCAAGACCAAAGAUUUAUCACCGAAAGAUGAGCCCGCGUAGGAUUAGCUAGUUGGUGAGGUAAAGGCUCACCAAGGCGACGAUCCUUAGCUGGUCUGAGAGGAUGAUCAGCCACACUGGGACUGAGACACGGCCCAGACUCCUACGGGAGGCAGCAGUGGGGAAUAUUGGACAAUGGGCGAAAGCCUGAUCCAGCAAUGCCGCGUGAGUGAUGAAGGCCUUAGGGUUGUAAAGCUCUUUUACCCGGGAAGAUAAUGACGGUACCGGGAGAAUAAGCCCCGGCUAACUCCG